UGUAUGUGUGAAAAAUGAUCAUAAGUCACUUUUCUCAGAGCCAUUGUAACUUUGAACAAUCACUAAACUAAUGAUUUUAAGUUGAGGACUAACUGUAGCAUGAAGGUGCAAAUUUUCAUCAUUGUGAAUAUACAGAUCACCCGUGAUACCUCAGUUACAGGUAAGUAACCAUUCUUAUCUCUAUCCAAUUUUUCUAUGUACCCUUCAGAAUUUUCUAAAUCCUCUGACUGGAAGCUGACAUAUGCAGAGCAGCACCUUGUACAGAGACCAAAUUUGCAACCACUUCAGAAGCCUCGACAGAGAGUUCUCCAUAAACACCACCAAACUCUAAAGCUGCUUUCCUGCCAGAUGAUAUAGAAGUGAACUUUUCCAUCUGAAAGAAUGAUAAUAAUAAUUUUUUAAAAGAAACCUAAGAAAUGGCACUGCCAGAAGAAAACAGCCACCAAGAACUGGACUCAAAUCCAACUGAUCUGGCUAGCACGAUAAGUUCUGAAUAGCCUCUGACUUGCUGAUGGAAUUCCCAGCGUGGCAUAUAACCAACAAUAUAACUCUUUCCACCUCAUAGUUGGUGGGGUUUUUUACACCGGAAAACUGCUUCCAGUUUCAUCACUGUGCAUAAUCUUUAUAUUCUCAUUAGGGAACUCUCUGUGACCUUCACUAAAGGUUCUGGGGUUUGGUUUAAUUUACUUUUGUUUUUAGCAUGGCAAACAAUGGAUUAUAAUAUAUAUGCAGAUUGCAUGAUGUUUUUUAAUGGGACCGAUAGUUCCAAUUCUGCACACCCAAAUGUUCACUGGUAUCCCUUUUCCCUAUCCUCUCCCCCCCCCCCCGAUAGAAACGUAGAAAUAUUUUGUGUUAGUGAUACACGGAAUGAUAUUCUGUUUUACAGUAUCCACAAUCCAUACAUGAUCUCCACACAGACAUUCUAACAGAUUUGGUGUGUUAUGGGAAUGUUUCAGGUAUCUGCAUUGAGAUUAUAUCUUGCGUGACUCGCCAUGUGCAUUGCUUCAGUAGCAAAGUUGGCUUGGUAACUCACAUGGAUAUUGUUGUGGCUGUUUUGACUGUUCUCUUGUAGAAGUAGUAGAAUGAGAGCACGUAUGUUCCUUUGCUGAACCUACUCUCCAAAAAUGACAAGUAAGAUUAUAUUUCUGUUACUUUGAUGCAUGUUAAAUAAUAGAGAAGAAAUUAAUGGAUAUAAAGAUUGCUGUCUUGUUGCAAGAACCCUUUGCUUUCGAUGAUUGAAGACACAUGUACCAUUUCAGUAGCAACUUGGCCAAUCUGAAAACAUUUUCAUUGCACUCUGUAGAAAUGCAGUGUUUUCUGCUACACAGUUGUAGCAAAAGCCAGCUAUAAAAAGUGCUGAUUGGUUAGCAUAGGUGACGUUAUGCUUGCUUAUUUUCAAUAGAACAGACAAAAAUAUGAAUAGUAAACUGAUAAAUAAUUAGUCUUACUCCAUAAGCUAUUUUAAUUCUUUUUUUUUUUUUUUGAAGGCACAUGGCCCAUUUAAAGUAGUCUAAAUAUAGUAACAGAUCCAGUUUUUGGCUUGCUGGUAGUGCAAGCCUACUGUAGUGAGCACACUACAAGUUAUACCCGGUAUAACUGGUAUAUUUAUCUUCACUCCUGGAAGUGACUUGUUGAAAAUUAGAACAGCUACUUUUUAGGGGGCAUAUGGAGAAACGUUAAAGAUAAUAAAUGCAGACCACAACUCUUUGUAGGGAAAUAGGGUGAUUGCCCAUCAAGAUCUUCCUUGUUUCUUUCUAAAAUAAAAUUGCAUUUGUUCAAGUAUGUUCUUAAGUGGUUCUGCCCAGUGACAUAUUCUUCCAUUGCCUUCCAACUGAGUCUUGGAAGUCACUUUUUUUUUGUUCAUCUGGUGUGCCAUAUUGACCUCAAAUUCUUUUUCAAUCAGCUAUCAGCCAGAGUGAGCAAGCCAAAAUUUCACAGGCCAAGGAUAUGUUGAAAUCUCAAUUAUCUUGAAUAGUGCACUUAAGGAUAAUUUAUGCUACAGAUAGGUAUCCACAAAUAUAUUGUGUUUUGAAUCUGUCUUGACUCACUGCUUUAUACUGAGACCUUUUUCUUUCUUUCUUUCUUUUUGCUCUCACCAGCGAGUUUGAGCAGAAAUGUUUACUUCCCACAUAACUGUAGCCGGCUUAAGACUGUUGCAACCAAAAUGAGCUCUGCUCUCCGUUAUUCUUUGUCCAGGUUUCCAGAACACAGCAGGCUGUGGUUUAAUCUUUAUCCCUACCAAUUCUGAGUCAGUGCUUUCCCAUACACUUUUGUUCCUUCAUUUCUUCUGGAAACAAAAACUCUUUCUAGCAAAAAAAAAAGUAAUGAUAGCAUCCAUAGAAAACAAGUGUCUGGUUCUAAUUGUCCCUAAAUCAAGCAAUGGCAGAUCUUCAGUUGAACUUUUUCCUGCUUGAUAGACUGUUACAAACUUGUGUAGUUUUCACAUACACAUACAGACACACACUUUUGUUGUGCAAUUCAUACUUUUCAAUUUGUCAGUGUUUCAAGAUGUACUUGAAGCUAUUUUAAGAGAAGAGCAGCUUAUGUCCCUGCAUGGAUCCUGGACUAUUCGUCUCGCUUGUUUCCUUGAAAUUUUGCCGAAGAUUUGUCCGUAGUCUAGAUGUUCCAAUGGCUCAUGAAAGCUUUCACAACAGGAGUAAAUCCAAAGUCAGUCAUUUCUAGACAGAUUUUACGUUUCAACAGAACUUUGUUAUGGGUAAUCCACUUUCAAGGAGAACGUUUGCUCUAUCGUGCUUUUUGUGAAGGUUUUCAUAAUGUGUUGCCAGCAUAUGACACUUAGAUCACUUUAGUUGCAGGGGUAUCCACUCAGUGUAGAUUUAAAAAAUGGUCAAGAUGGGAGCCAUUGAAGCUCCGUUCAGUUUGUAUGUGGGUUACCCAUGUGGCACACAUUAAAAAUGGGCAAAGCUUUACAUGUUGUGGGUGCCCUCUUGACUUUUUUUUACCAUGCCCUAUAAACACCCUUAUUUAGUUAUGAGACUCCUCUAUUGCAGUCUUCAUAGAGAAAAGAUAGUGUGUCUUAUUACAUGAAGAAAAAGAAUACUUCCAAUGUUAAAAAGUCCCAGUCUUUUAUGUUGGAGCAGGGAAGUAGCAAGGGAAAAGAGCAAUAGGAUUAAAGUAAUAUUCCAGAAAAAAUCAAUUGCCAUUAGUCUUAGAGAAGACAGUUACCAAUAUUAAACUCUAAUAAAGAACCAGAUCUACAAUCAGUGCCUCAGAUUAUUAUCAGCUGUGAUGACAAACCUACUUGCGUGUGCCUCAGUAGAAUUACUACUUUCUUAACAGACUUUCUCAGCACAUUUUUUUCCUUUCAUCAAUGGUUUAUUGUACAUACAGGGUCCUUUAAUCAGCUCCCUCUCUUAACAAUCCAUCUGCAGACCACAUUGUCCAAGAAAAUAGGAUGAGCCCUGCUAGAUCAGAUCUUAGUCUGAUAAUAUUAUGUUAGUCCAACAUAAUAUUUUCAACUCUGAUCAGCUAAUAGUCGCUGGACCCAUAGGGCGUAAAAACCAUCUUUGCUUCUAGCUUCUAGAAUGUAUAUAUUUUAGAGUCCUGAUCUCUUCUGUGCCUCUUCAGUUUUCAAUAGAUCUGUAUCUGAAACCUGCCUAAAAGAAUAAUAAUAAUUUUGACAACUGGGAAGGGCCAGAGUACAGAUUUUAAAUGAAGAAGGUCCUAAAUUCAAUCACCAGCAACUUAAGUUAAUCGAAUCUCAGGUAGUAGGACUGGAAAAGAUCACAACUAUCAGAUCUAGGUUGCAAAAAUCAGAAAGACCACUACAUGACAGUACAAGGUUACAUAUUUUUCUGAAUCAUUAUGCUAUAGACUAGCACUUGGUAAAGCAGACAUGAAGGCCUUGGAAAGGCUACUCCAACAUUGUUAUGUGUUUAUACCUACAAAGAAGAGCAUUGUACAAGCCAUGGUGUUCUCUGUAACUUUCUAUGGAAGUGAAAAUUGGACUUUGAGGAAGCACGAUAGGAAGAGCAUUGACAGUUUUGAACAUUGGUGUUAGAGAAGACCCCUGAGAGAAUUACAGACAGUCCAAAAAACAAACUAAUGGAUCAUCAAACAAAUCAAUCCAGAGUUCUCACUGGAAGCAGAAAUGUUUCCUGCACUGGAGGCCAAAGGUGUCUUACUUCAGGCACAUUAGUUGAAGACCUAGUUCUCUGGAAAAAGCUAUCAUACAGAUAGUCCUCAACUUACACCAGUUCAUUUAGUGACCGUUCGAAGUUACAACAGCACUGAAAAAAGUGACUUAUGACCAUUUUUGACACUUAUGACUGUUGUAACAUCCCACCGUGUUACUAAUCUAACGAUGGCAGUGAUUCACUUAACAAAUGUGGCAAGAAAAGUCGUAAAGUGGGACAAAGCCCACUUAACAAAUUUCUCACUUAGCAACAUAAAUUCUGGACUCAAUAGCAACCAUACGUCGAGAAUAACCUGUACUGGAAAAGAUGGAGGGAAAGAGAAGAGGACAACCAGCAGCAAAGUAGAUAGACUCAGUUAUAGUGUCAGGGAGUAGAUCAUAGUAAAUCCUAAGAGAUCAGGUUGAGACGUAGAUCACCAUGGAGAAAGUCUGUAUCAUUAUUAGAAAUCCAAAAUUAUCUGAAGGUACACAAUCAAAUCUUUGGUAUCUUCUAGUGGUCUUCUGUUUUUCUACAUUCCAGAUCUGUUAGUUGUAGAAAAGACUCCUGCUUAAGGCUUAGAAGAAAUCCUGCUAGUUUGGCAAAGAUAAUUCUAAGUCAGACAGACCAAUGAUCUUAUUCAAUAUAUUCGGUGUCAUUUAUUUAUGUAACAAAAGCAGAAACAUAAUUGCACACAGUGAAGCUUGAAGCUUCUGCAACAUAAAUAUCCAUUUUCAUGUUUCAUUUUUCAAUAUUUGAAUAUUGUAGCAGCGUCUCAUCUUAACUUCCAUUUAAUCUUUUCACAACUAGUUCUUUUUUUUUCUCCCCAUCACAGUAUUUUCAUUAUGGCACUAAUAUUGCUCUUUUCUAAGUCCUUUCCAAUUUCUCAAAUAUCCCUGGCCAGCUAUAGCUACUCAUUGAUUUGAUUGUGCAGUGAUUUUCAUGCUUGCAUGACUGCCCUUAACAUCUUGAAUCUCUUAUUGGAGUACAUGUUGCCCUGCAAAGUUUGAAUUCAUGUAAACCAAUGGUUCUCAACCUUUUCUUUACCAUGGAGCCCCUUCAAAUACCUUUUGUGGCCACAGACUAUAGACACGAACCCCCAAGACUUAAGAUUUAAAGCACUAGACUGUGUCAAGCCUUCGCAGAUCCCUUGAGAUGGCAUUGUGUUCCCCCAUUUCAUCCCAGGGCUUCAUGGACCACAGGUUGAGAACCACUAAUAUAAACAAUUGGCUGGUUUCAUAAGUACCUACACAUGAACCAGAGAACACAUCCAGUAAUGCAGAGACAAAUACUACUUUACUGCUAAUACUUUCUGAAGAAAUCCAAGCUGCCCAGUGUACAUUUUGAAGGUCUACACCUGAUCAUAUUCACUAGAAAUUCUAAGGGGUUAUAUUCCCAAUGGGUGCCAGCAUGAAGGAGUUUGUAUUAAGCAUUUUAUUCUGCUUUAUGUUGAUGAUGAUAGUGCAUCCCAAAAGGAUAAUGUUCAUCAUCAAAAGAUGCAGCAACUAUUAUUUACUGUUAUAUAGGCCUCAAAUGUACCCAAAAAUUUUCCUCAGGUGUUACUUUAAUCCAAAGCUAGGACUAAACAUUGGGUUACAGUACAAUAGCCCACAUUUUGCAUAUACUUUGGGUGGAUAAGCUUCUAAAAUGUCUCUUCAAGUCCUACCAAAUUUCCUUCUGCUCCAUUGUUACUAUUGUUGACAACUGCUUUCUUUUAGGAUAGAAUUAAGUACAUCCAAGUGGUUUCCACAGAAAAGAUGUAAGCUUAUAUUUAAGUCUCUGUUUUUAAGUUUUUAACUUCAGCAAGAGUGCAUUAUUUCAUUUAAAUGAACAGUUCUUGAUUCUAGUCUCUUAAAAUGACCAACAGGAAGUUUUUAAUUUCUCAUGGGCCUCAGGCAAUAUGGAAUGCAUUCUGACAUGCAGUCUGGGCAAAUAUGUCUUUAUUACCAUGAAAUUAAAAUAAAAGUCUGAACAGUUA